GGACGCUGAUGGGAUGAUGGCCGGCGACAGGGCGACGACGGUCCGAGGAAGCCGGUGCGAAUCCGGCGCGGUCCCGCCACUGUGAUCGGUGAGCGGAUCCCGAAGUUGCCACUGCCCCGGUAGGGGCGGGAAGGCCGGGACGAGCUGUGACCCGGGAGCCAGGAAACUCACGUCGUCGCCUCCUCGACG
rnacentral:ncRNA from 1 species